GACGAACGCUGGCGGCGUGCCUAAUACAUGCAAGUAGAACGCUGAAGGAGGAGCUUGCUUCUCCGGAUGAGUUGCGAACGGGUGAGUAACGCGUAGGUAACCUGCCUGGUAGCGGGGGAUAACUAUUGGAAACGAUAGCUAAUACCGCAUAAGAGUAGAUGUCGCAUGACAUUUGCUUAAAAGGUGCAACUGCACCACUACCAGAUGGACCUGCGUUGUAUUAGCUAGUUGGUGAGGUAACGGCUCACCAAGGCAACGAUACAUAGCCGACCUGAGAGGGUGAUCGGCCACACUGGGACUGGGACACGGCCCAGACUCCUACGGGAGGCAGCAGUAGGGGAACUUCGGCAAUGGACGGAAGUCUGACCGAGCAACGCCGCGUGAGUGAAGAAGGUUUUCGGAUCGGAAAGCUCUGUUGUAAGAGAAGAACGAGUGUGAGAGUGGAAAGUUCACACUGUGACGGUAUCUUACCAGAAAGGGACGGCUAACUACGUG
rnacentral:rRNA from 1 species